GAUGAACGCUCGCGGGAGGCCUAACACAUGCAAGCCGAGCGGUAGAGUUUCUUCGGAACCUUGAGAGCGGCGCACGGGUGCGUAACACGUGUGCAACCUACCUUUAUCUGGGGGAUAGCCUUUCGAAAGGAAGAUUAAUACCCCAUAAUAUAAUGAUUGGCAUCAAUUAUUAUUGAAAACUCCGGUGGAUAGAGAUGGGCACGCGCAAGAUUAGAUAGUUGGUGAGGUAACGGCUCACCAAGUCAAUGAUCUUUAGGGGUCCUGGGAGGGAGAUCCCCCAAACGGUUACUGGGACCCGACCCAGACUCCAACGGGAGGCAGCGGUGAGGAAUAUUGGAGAGGGGGGGGGAGCUUGACCCACCCACCCGGGGUGAAGGAUGACGGGCUUAUGGAUUUCAACCUUCUUUGGAAAAGGGAAAAACCUCCCUCCGGGGGGUUACUGAAGGGACCGGAAGAAUAAGCACCGGCUAACUCCGUG
rnacentral:rRNA from 1 species